rfam:Felis catus isolate Cinnamon breed Abyssinian chromosome D3, whole genome shotgun sequence.
GUCUAUGGCCAUACCACCCCGAACGCACCCGAUCUCGGAAGCUAAGCAGGGUCGGGCCUGGUUAGUACUUGGAUGGAAAAUGUUCAGAUUUGAAACCGUGUAUUUUCCAAG